GACCCCGUAGCUCAGUUGGUAGAGCAACGGACUUUUAAUCCGUGGGUCGCAGGUUCGAGACCUGCCGGGGUCA
rnacentral:tRNA from 1 species